rnacentral:rRNA from 1 species
UAGCAUAUCAAUAAGCGGAGGAAAAGAAAACCCAACAGGGAUUGCCCCUAGUAACGGCGAGUGAAGCGGCAAACAGCUCAAAUUUGAAAAUCUGGCGCAAGCCCGAGUUGUAAUUUGUAGAGGAUGUUUCUGGCGACGCGCCUUCCGAGUUCCCUGGAACGGGACGCCAUAGAGGGUGAGAGCCCCGUACGGUUGGAUGCCUAGCCUCUGUGAAACUCCUUCGACGAGUCGAGUAGUUUGGGAAUGCUGCUCUAAAUGGGAGGUAUACGUCUUCUAAAGCUAAAUACCGGCCAGAGACCGAUAGCGCACAAGUAGAGUGAUCGAAAGAUGAAAAGCACUUUGAAAAGAGGGUUAAAAAGUACGUGAAAUUGUUGAAAGGGAAGCGUUCAUGACCAGACUUGGGCAGGUUGAUCAUCCGUGGUUCUCCGCGGUGCACUCUGCCUGCCCAGGCCAGCAUCAGUUCGCUCCGGGGGAUAAAGGCUCUGGGAAUGUGGCUCCUUCGGGAGUGUUAUAGCCCACUGCGUAAUACCCUGGGGUGGACUGAGGUUCGCGCUCUGCAAGGAUGCUGGCGUAAUGGUCAUCAACGACCCGUCUUGAAACACGGACCAAGGAGUCGUCUUCGUAUGCGAGUGUUCGGGUGUCAAACCCCUACGCGUAAUGAAAGUGAACGUAGGAGAGAGCUUCGGCGCAUCUCCGACCGAUCCUGAUGUUCUCGGAUGGAUUUGAGUAAGAGCAUACGGGGCCGGACCCGAAAGAAGGUGAACUAUGCCUGUAUAGGGUGAAGCCAGAGGAAACUCUGGUGGAGGCUCGCAGCGGUUCUGACGUGCAAAUGCGAUGCGUCAAAUAUGGGCAUGGGGGGCGAAAGACUAAUCGAACCUUCUAGUAGCUGGUUUCCGCCGAAG